UUGCCUGUGUGCAUGUCUGUGCACCAUGUUCGUGCCUGGUACUCAAGGUCAGAAGGUAUGUGCUGGGUGCUGGGAGUUGAGCUUGGCUCUUAUGGAAGCGCAAUGCUUGCUUUCCUUUCUUUUCCUUCUUUUGUUUUCCCUUGAGAUAGGAUCUCAUAUGUAGACCUCAAACUCACAAACACCUGCCUGCCCAUUUCUGCUUUUCCAGUGCUGGGAUCAGAGGUGUGUGCCAAGGUGCUUGGCCAUAGCACACCCUCCUCUUCAGUGCUGAACCAUCUGUGCAACCAUACACUACACUCUGUCUUUUGAGUUUGGGUCUCUCACGGAACCUGAUGCUCACCUUUGUGGUAGGUGGCUGUUGAGGGAUCCCCAGGGAUUCUCCUGUUUCUACCUUCCCAAUCCAGUACUGAGGUGAAAGUGAGCUGCCAGAUCCAGCUGUUAUGUGAGAGCUAGGAGUCUGAACUCAGGUCCCAGGUUUGUUCGGCAAGGACUAUACUGAUGGAGCAGUGCCCUCAUCCCUUUCAGAAAGGAGGGAUGGGGCAGGCAGGGUGGGGGCAGGGAGGACGAUGCCGCCAAUUCUCUCCAUAGAUUCUUCCAGACAGGUGUAGUGGCCAAAGAUUUGUUCAGGAAUCUUUUGUUUGAAAGUUCAUUUUGAUCAGAUGACAAAUGAUCUAAAUUUGGUCUCCAACUCCAGGCCACCGGAAGAACAGUGAGCAAAAGACUGACCCAAUGCAUAGCUCCAUGAAAGGCAUCUAGUGUGGCCUGCCUCCUACUGCUCAAGAAUCUGGCUGUGCUGCUUGCCCAGGACCCCCCUGAACUCCUGGCCCAAACAAUCUUUCCAACUCUGGCUCUGAAGUAUCUGGGACCAAAGACACCCAACAGUGGCGCCUGUUUUAUCAGUCAAUAGAAGAGCUAGGCGGCUGAGGCAGGAGCAUUAGGAGCAUCUCAUCAGCCUGGGCGACCUCUUAUGCAGAUCUGUUUCUCCAGAUAGAAUCCGGCCAGAGAGAGGGCUUAGCAGGCAGAAGGGAUUGCCACCAAGGCUGACGACCUGAGUUCAGUUCCCAGGACCCACACGAUGCAAGGAGAGAACUGACUCCUGCAAGCUGUCCUCCGACCUCCAUACUCAAGAGUUCACAACCAGAGAUACAACAACAUGAAAAUGAUUGUUUUAAAAAACUCACACAAAGAAACAAAGUCUGG